rnacentral:rRNA from 1 species
UGGUCAAGCUACAAAGGG